rnacentral:lncRNA from 1 species
AUGGAGAAGAGAGUGAUUGCCUCCCAGCGCUGUCCCACGACCGAGGAGCCAUGCGAUAGAUUUGAAAGUCUGUCCUGCCCUCAUGGACUCCACCAUCCUUCAAGCAAGCCAUUUCCGAAGAAGGCCAAGAGAAGCCAGAAUGCUUUGAUAUUUCUCCUCUCCUUGCCCAACCCAUCCCAGCUGGCACAGGCGCCUGGACUGUGGAAAGCCUGCUGGCACCUGCUCAGAAGUUUUGGGAUGCCCUAAGCUUGUGCAAUACAAAGAAAACCUUUUCUUUGUUAAACAUCUUGAUUUCACUGUCCUUUAUGCGUGUGUGUAAACCCAGGUCAAACUGGAAUUGAUCUACAAUAGAAAUGACUGAAAAACAAACAAACUGAAAAAAGACAACUAUUUUAUUUAUUUCAAUAUUUAAGAGAGAAAAGAAGUGCUCAAGUUGCACAGUAUUUUUGUUUAAAAUACAGUUUACUUCAAAAUUUAAAAGCAAUUUUGUGAAGACGUGAAAAUUAAAAAAAAAAGCACUUAAUGUAAAAUAAAGACUGAAUAUUUACUUUAAGGAAAAACUUUUUUUUAAUUAUGAAAAUAAAGAUCAACUCUGCUCUCUCUUACUUUAAAGAAGCCAUUCAUACAUGUGCUGGGUAUUUUUAUUUUUUGCAAAUUGGAUGUGGUAAGUGAAGAUUGUUCUGGUUUACUUUCUCCUAAAUUCUUGGUACUGUUUCCCUGUUAGAUAUUUAAAGCUUAUUUGCUUUACUGUGGUAGGCACAAAUCUGAACAAAUAUACUGUUGAAAAAGCAAAGAACAGACCCAAAGGCUGAAUUCUUGUUAUCGGUUUUUGUGUCCAGGCCGGAAGGAGUAUUGAUGUAUCUUUUCUAUAGAGUGAAACAAGUUUUGGCUUUACCAGUUCUGGGAAAUAUUGCUGCUGAAAAUAGAGGUUUAAAAAAGGAACAUCUCAAUUUACAGCAGUGCUACAUUUCAUUUUAGUAACUCAGCAGCUCAUUCUGAGAGAUGCUUGCAAUCUAAGGGCCUGAGCGUUCAAGCAUUCUGGGCGUGGAAUCUCCCAGUGGAAGUCCCCUGCACUUCCAAGUGCAGCACCAUUGCAUAAUUGAGCCCUAGUUUGGGAACUACUGGACAUUCAAAGGCAUGCAGAACUUCUUUUAAGCACCUCAGAAAUAAGCAGCUGGGGUGACUCAGGAAGAGGCAAGUGUGAGGUGCCAGGUGUAGAACCCUAAAUUUAGUUUUAUGGAGCGUGUGUGGUAAGGAAGGAGUUCAUACAUUUAUUUUAAACUGUUACUCAUCUUCUCAGCCUGGUAAGAUGUAUUGAUUCAUAGAUGAAUUGAAGGGUCUAUUUGGUUACCCAGUCCAUCUCCAGGGGCCAGUGCAAGAUUGUUCCCUACAGUGCUUUGUGCAGACUGGUUUUGAGUGUCUCAAAUUAAAGAUACAGAACAGCCUAGUCUCCUAAAGAAGGCCUUGGAUUUGAACCUGAGGCCUAGUCUACACUAGAAAAGCUUUGCCAUUAUAGCUGCUACUGGUAUCAGUUUCCCAAGCAAAAUAAGGCAUCUUUAUGCUCAUAUAACUGGACUUUUGCCAGUAUAGAAAUGUUGCAAAACAAUCACACUGACAUUACUAUGCCAGAAAAUGUUUCUAGUGUAGAGCUGGCCUGAGCUCCCUUGCCCCUCCUCAUCCAGUGAGUCAUCUCUGCUUAGUCACUAAAUUAUUUAUUUAUCAAAGGCAUCUGGGGAGAACCUGUUCUUUUGCCAUUGACAAGAAGGUGGUAGCAUAUGUGAUGAUAAUGAAGGUCCUGACCCUUCAUCUUGUUUCUUGCUCACCCAAGACUUCAGUUAACUUCACUGGGAAUCUUGGGUGUGUUAGGAAUGCAGGAUCUGAAGGAACCCCUCCCCUUCUUAACACCUAGGACCAAAUCUGCAGGUAUAGGCAAUGUAACAUCACUGGUAGAUCCUACUCCAGCUCCCACUGAAUUCAAUGGCAAAACUUAUAUUGCCGUCAAUGGGAGCAGGAGCAGGACACUUUGCCAGUUUUUUUGGAAAUCUGCAGUUGUUAAACUGCCUUUAAAAAUAAUCAGGUUUUGUUCUGUUAAAAUAUAACAAGAUGCACAACUGUAAUGAAACUUCUCAAACUGUAGGGUCUGGAUUUAAUUUGUGUAAUAUUCUUGUUAAAUAAAAGUCUCCUGAUGCCCCCAUUGUAUAUUUCUCUGUAAAUAUUACUUUAUCAACAAAU